rnacentral:rRNA from 1 species
GACGAACGCUGGCGGCGUGCUUAACACAUGCAAGUCGAACGGAAAGGCCCUGCUUUUGUGGGGUGCUCGAGUGGCGAACGGGUGAGUAACACGUGAGUAACCUGCCCUUGACUUUGGGAUAACUUCAGGAAACUGGGGCUAAUACCGGAUAGGAGCUCCUGCUGCAUGGUGGGGGUUGGAAAGUUUCGGCGGUUGGGGAUGGACUCGCGGCUUAUCAGCUUGUUGGUGGGGUAGUGGCUUACCAAGGCUUUGACGGGUAGCCGGCCUGAGAGGGUGACCGGCGACAUUGGGACUGAGAUACGGCCCAGACUCCUACGGGAGGCAGCAGUGGGGAAUAUUGCACAAUGGGCGGAAGCCUGAUGCAGCAACGUCGCGUGCGGGAUGACGGCCUUCGGGGUGUAAACCGCUUUCGCCUGUGACGAAGCGUGAGUGACGGUAAUGGGUAAAGAAGCACCGGCUAACUACGUG